rnacentral:rRNA from 1 species
AUGCCACCUUCCGUGCACGACACGGAAGGCCUGUCGUUCAUGAAGCAUGGUUGUGUCUUCAGUGCGCACCGCCGGAUGAACGACAUGCUGGGACACGCUAUCCCUGAUUUAUGUCGCUUCAGUUUGGAUGAGUCUUCAUCGUGUGGAACCGGACUAGAAAGUUGCGACAAUGAUUCCCAUUGUCCACCGCUAUGGAUCGUGUCAUCCAUGAAGAACAUGUGGGACUGGAACCUGGAGGAGGACAUGCAGCCCAUCUAUAACGUUACUGCCAUCUCUUCUUCUUCCUCCUCUCUUCUUCUUCCUCGUCUCUUCCCCAUCAUCGGCUGCACACCAUUUACCCCCGCUCACUGCUCGCCCACCCGCGCCAUCUUCCUUGGUAGCUCGCGCGUACCAUAUCCCCCCGCUCACUGCUCGGCCACACGAGGAGAAGCUUCUUCGCUCACCUGCCCGAAUCCACUUCCCCGCUGGCUCGACCUGGAAUCAUACCAGCCGAUGGUGUGUGAAAGGCAUAAAGCUUCCAUGCGAUGGAUGGCUUUUACAAACCCAACAUGCGGCAAUGUGGUACCAUAUAACUGGAAUUAUCGAUGCAAGUCGAAGAAGGAUUGGCCGAUGCUGCCGGCUGGCGUCAAGUUCGAUCCCACGGAUCAGGAGCUGAUCGAGCACCUUGAGGCCAAAGUGAGUGCUGAUAGCGCGAGAUUUCAGUCUCUCAUCGAUUUGUUCAUACCAACCAUCGACAACGAGCACGACAUAUGCUACACCCAACCUGAGAAACUUCCAGGUAUCACACUGAGUGGCCUAAGGAAGCAUUUCUUCCAGUGCAAUUCUAGGGCGUUCAAAAGGGGCACGUGGAUGCGUCGCAAGAUACAGUCGGAGUGCGGCAUGCACGCGAUGUGGCACAAGACCGGCAAUACCUUGCCGGUGAUGGUCAACGGCCGACAGACGGGCAGCAAAAAAAGUUUUGGUGCUGCACACCAACAAGAACUUCAACCAGCAGAGGACCAACUGGGUGAUGCACCAGUACCACCUCGGGGACCUGGAGCAAGAGAAGGAGCGGGAGCUGGUCGAGCAAGUUUCAACUGGGCUGUAGACUGCCCAGGGUUGAUUUUGAUUUUAAUAGGCCCAGCCCAUGACGACAACGGGGCACAAAGAUCCAGCAGCGCCGUUGGCUCUGAUUUCUUGGGGUGCAUCACCGUGACCACAAUUUGUCCGAUGCCAAGCUCGUUUGGUCUCCGUGUCCUCUUCUGCUUCGGUGCUUUACCGGCUACGGCAGCAUCGUUGCCGGUCUCGAGGAUGGUGUCGGUGCAAGUGUCGACAUCAGUGUCGGGCUUGGUGCCACUGCCGCCACCCUGCACCCGCAACUGGUGUUCGUCCAGCACGAUCAAAACAAAAUCCACUUGCACCUCAUAUCACAUCGCGAGAAUUGAAUCCGAACAAGUCGAUAAACACGUCGACUGCAAGGCUGCCGACUGGGGGUUGCCCCCUGCGAUCUCGACGAGGGCCACACGGAACGACUAUUGUCGUUGGGCCUCAUGUAUCAUGGCGCCGAUGGAGAAAUCCAUACUGCUCGCCGGCGGCGAUCUCGACGUGGGCCACGCAGAGGGACUGUUGUCCUUGCCUCACGUACCAUGGUGCCAGCAGGGAAUCCAUACUCAAGGUCGAUCCGAGUUGUGGCCAAUUCUUACCUGUAACUCCAGCGACCGGAUCACAUUGUUAGUGUCGGUUUCGCCGGAGCGAACAUCUCAGCCUCAUACGUGCAUGGUACUUCCGCCGCUUCCAAGGGAUCCCCAAGUGAGAUGCACCGACUGCUUGCAUGUAUCGUUGGCUUGCUCUAACGUGGAGAUGCCGAGCCCCAACUUUCAAGCAGGAAGUGUGUCCUCUCCUAUGCACGAUUUAUUAUCGUUGGGGUUUUUUUUCAUCCCCCUUCCUAUCACACCACUUCCCACGCAGAAAAAAACCACCCCUGCACAAAAAACUCUCCUCUCCACCCCAUCUCCGAUCUCCCUGCCGCCGACUCUUCGUAGCCGCCGCCCACGUGCGAACUCGUUCGUUGCCGCCGCCGCCGUCCGAGGGGAGACGCCGCCGUCGCGUCUCCAGGCAGGGCGGCUUGAAUCCCUGUCGCCGGGAUCGCCCCGCCGAACUCCGGGCCAUGGCGAGAUCCAGCAGGCCAUGGCGGCGACCAGCGCCGGGAUAGGACCAGGAGGCCGCCGGCGUCUCCCUGAUCCGUGA